rnacentral:rRNA from 1 species
CGGCCGUACCAUGCUGAAUAUACCGGUUCUCGUUAGAUCACCGAAGUCAAGCAUCAUUGGGCGCGGUCAGUACUUGGGUGGGAGACCACCUGGGAACACCGCGUGCCGUU